GACGAACGCUGGCGGCGUGCCUAAUACAUGCAAGUAGAACGCUGAAGAGAGGAGCUUACUCUUCUUGGAUGAGUUGCGAACGGGUGAGUAACGCGUAGGUAACCUGCCUUGUAGCGGGGGAUAACUAUUGGAAACGAUAGCUAAUACCGCAUAACAAUGGAUUACACAUGUCAUUUAUUUGAAAGGGGCAAUUGCUCCACUACAAGAUGGACCUGCGUUGUAUUAGCUAGUCGGUGAGGUAAUGGCUCACCUAGGCGACGAUACAUAGCCGACCUGAGAGGGUGAUCGGCCACACUGGGACUGCGACACGGCCCAGACUCCUACGGGAGGCAGCCGUAGGGAAUCUUCGGCAAUGGGGGCAACCCUGACCGAGCAACGCCGCGUGAGUGAAGAAGGUUUUCGGAUCGUAAAGCUCUGUUGUAAGUCAAGAACGGGUGUGAGAGUGGAAAGUUCACACUGUGACGGUAGCUUACCAGAAAGGGACGGCUAACUACGUG
rnacentral:rRNA from 1 species